AAUAGAUAAAUAAGGUUGGAAUGGUAAUGUAGGCGGGGCAAGCGUGCCACAGUUAUGAUAGAACAAACAUAACUCGACCGAUUCUUUCAUUCACCGCGUUUAGUGCGCUUCGGACUACUUGGCGAACAGAUCUCCGCUUUAUAGUGCCGUGUUGUGCAAUUAUAACUUGUAAAACAAAAAAUCAGACCUCAAGUAUAGAGCGAGGAGGUAUAUCUUUCGAUCGCAAGUUAUAAAUAGCAUACAUUGCGCGAUGUGUACUCGCCCAAUGAACGCAAUGACCAAGUCAGCUUCCAAUGUACUACAUGCAUUGCGUUCUCUACACUUCAAUCUUUGAAAUUUCGGCCUUUGCCCUGAUUGGCCGUGCAGUUUGUCGAUAGUGAGGUGACCAUGUGGUGAAAUAAAAUCAUCGACAGAAUUCUCGACUAUAUUUACAUUUGACAUGGAUAAUUUUUGCAUUAUUUUAUAUUUAAUUAAUGAUACCUAGUAUAUUCUUAGUGAGACGUAUUUUGAGUAAAAUAAAAAUGUAUUAUUAUUAUUGAAUUAUUAUCAUUGAAUUAAAGUGAAGGUAUAAUAUAAAGGGACAUGUAGACCUCUAAUUUGCGGGUAUUUACUAUAUUGUCUAAGACGUAUUAAAAUCUAAGUAAAAUGCUAUUUGACUUAUGCAGUAAAUUAAAAAUUUUAGGUUUCCUAAAGAACCUAACGCCAGGGAACAAUGGAUUGACGUGACAGGUAGAGGAAACUGGAGACAAAGACGAGUACUAUUUGCUCUAAACAUUUUACUGAAAAUGAUUUUAUCAUAAAAAAAAUCAGAAUACACUUAGUUUUGAAAAAUUCAUUCGCAAUUAAUAGCAAGCGCCAACUGCUUAACAAAUACGUUUUAUUCCAGCGACAGUGACUAUUUGUAAUUAAUAAAAGUAAAAUAGUUUUUUUUUUCAAUAUUUA